GAUGAACGCUAGCGGCAGGCCUAAUACAUGCAAGUCGAGGGGUAGUGGUUGCUUGCAGCCAUGAGACCGGCGCACGGGUGCGUAACGCGUAUGCAACCUACCUUCAUCUGGGGGAUAGCCCGGAGAAAUCCGGAUUAAUACCGCAUAAAAUCACAGUACGGCAUCGUACAAUGAUCAAACAUUUAUGGGAUGGAGAUGGGCAUGCGUGUCAUUAGUUAGUUGGCGGGGUAACGGCCCACCAAGACCGCGAUGACUAGGGGAUCUGAGAGGAUGACCCCCCACACUGGUACUGAGACACGGACCAGACUCCUACGGGAGGCAGCAGUAAGGAAUAAUGGUCAAUGGGCGCAAGCCUGAACCAGCCAUGCCGCGUGCAGGAAGACGGCCCUCUGGGUUGUAAACUGCUUUUAUUCGGGAAUAAACCUGCUUACGUGUAAGUAGCUGAAUGUACCGGAGGAAUAAGGAUCGGCUAACUCCGUGCCAGCAGCCGCAGUAACAC
rnacentral:rRNA from 1 species